rnacentral:tmRNA from 1 species
UUGAAAAUAAGAUAAUUUAAUAUAUACUAUAAACGUCAGGAAACUGACUACGACACUAGAGGCUGUACGAAAUAGGCUGUUUGGACCUGGGGGCAGUACCCAGCACCUCCACCAAAAAUAACCGGUAAUUAUCGGAAAAUACGGUUAUACAAAUAUCCCGCGGAUAUUUCGCGCCGGACAGAAAUUUUACCGGAACAGACAACAGUUUCCGGGGGUGAAACAGGGUAGACAGGCAGUAGUAAAGGUAUGAUGCUGUGCCCGGUGAGAUACCACCGUUAUCGGUUCAACUUAAAUGAAUGCUAACGAUAAUAACGUAGCACCGGUUGCAAUCGCUGCUUAGUGAACGCAACAAAUCAAAAUUCUUUUGACUUUGGUUAGCCAAAAGUGGGGUUUGGGCCGCCUAGCAACAGAAAGGCC